UUUACGUUAUCACGCAGUGACAUCACAACGUCAUUUAGCAACUUUUAGCAACAAAUCAACCUGCCUCUAGCAACUUACCCUGAAAAUUUGUUUGCAGCACUUGCAACGACAGUUUCAUGGACUCACCCUGCAAAUACCACCAUGGCGCUGUGCAAGAGAGAGAUCCAAUGCUGUGUAACAACGACAAUACAGUUAUCAAUUUCAACAGUGUCAAUAUACACCCCAAUGCUAGCCUAACAAAAACUAAGAAUCAGAGACAUCUUUACUGCUGCACAACAUGGUCCUGCUCUCCGUGAACUACCCCAGCCCCUGACCAGAGGAAGAAAGCAUGCAGCUGCAACCAGACUCUUUGUUAAAUGUAUUCAUUUGCUCUCAGACUAAUUCUAAUGGAACAGAAACCAUUCAUCUAAUUUUCUCUGGACAGAGAGGCAUAGAAUUAAACAAACGGAUCAAUUGCUAA